AUUUAUAUAAUAUAUUUAGUAUAUUUGACUUCCAAUCAAAAAGUUUAAUAUUUUAUUAUAUAAAUA
rnacentral:tRNA from 1 species